GCCUUCGUGGUGUAAUGGUCAGCACACUGAGCCGGUAUUUCAGAGGUCCGUGUGUUCGAUUCCCGGCGAAGGAA
rnacentral:tRNA from 1 species